rnacentral:rRNA from 1 species
AGAGUUUGAUCAUGGCUCAGGACGAACGCUGGCGGCGUGCCUAAUACAUGCAAGUCGAACGAAGCUUUCUUUCACCGAAUGCUUGCAUUCACCGAAAGAAGCUUAGUGGCGAACGGGUGAGUAACACGUAGGCAACCUGCCCAAAAGAGGGGGAUAACACUUGGAAACAGGUGCUAAUACCGCAUAACCAUGAACACCGCAUGAUGUUCGUGUAAAAGACGGCUUUUGCUGUCACUUUUGGAUGGGCCUGCGGCGUAUUAACUUGUUGGUGGGGUAACGGCCUACCAAGGUGAUGAUACGUAGCCGAACUGAGAGGUUGAUCGGCCACAUUGGGACUGAGACACGGCCCAAACUCCUACGGGAGGCAGCAGUAGGGAAUCUUCCACAAUGGACGAAAGUCUGAUGGAGCAACGCCGCGUGAAUGAAGAAGGCCUUCGGGUCGUAAAAUUCUGUUGUCAGAGAAGAAUGUGCGUGAGAGUAACUGUUCACGUAUUGACGGUAUCUGACCAGAAAGCCACGGCUAACUACGUGCCAGCAGCCGCGGUAAUACGUAGGUGGCAAGCGUUGUCCGGAUUUAUUGGGCGUAAAGGGAACGCAGGCGGUCUUUUAAGUCUGAUGUGAAAGCCUUCGGCUUAACCGAAGUAGUGCAUUGGAAACUGGAAGACUUGAGUGCAGAAGAGGAGAGUGGAACUCCAUGUGUAGCGGUGAAAUGCGUAGAUAUAUGGAAGAACACCAGUGGCGAAAGCGGCUCUCUGGUCUGUAACUGACGCUGAGGUUCGAAAGCGUGGGUAGCAAACAGGAUUAGAUACUCUGGUAGUCCACGCCGUAAACGAUGAGUGCUAAGUGUUGGAGGGUUUCCGCCCUUCAGUGCUGCAGCUAACGCAUUAAGCACUCCGCCUGGGGAGUACGGUCGCAAGACUGAAACUCAAAGGAAUUGACGGGGGCCCGCACAAGUGGUGGAGCAUGUGGUUUAAUUCGAAGCAACGCGAAGAACCUUACCAGGUCUUGACAUCUUCUGACAAUUCCAGAGAUGGAACGUUCCCUUCGGGGACAGAAUGACAGGUGGUGCAUGGUUGUCGUCAGCUCGUGUCGUGAGAUGUUGGGUUAAGUCCCGCAACGAGCGCAACCCUUAUUGUCAGUUGCCAUCAUUAAGUUGGGCACUCUGGCGAGACUGCCGGUGACAAACCGGAGGAAGGUGGGGAUGACGUCAAAUCAUCAUGCCCCUUAUGACCUGGGCUACACACGUGCUACAAUGGACGGUACAACGAGUCGCAAACUCGCGAGGGCAAGCUAAUCUCUUAAAGCCGUUCUCAGUUCGGAUUGCAGGCUGCAACUCGCCUGCAUGAAGUCGGAAUCGCUAGUAAUCGCGAAUCAGCAUGUCGCGGUGAAUACGUUCCCGGGCCUUGUACACACCGCCCGUCACACCAUGAGAGUUUGUAACACCCAAAGUCGGUGGGGUAACCUUUUGGAGCCAGCCGCCUAAGGUGGGACAGAUGAUUGGGGUGAAGUCGUAACAAGGUA